GACGAACGCUGGCGGCGUGCCCAAUACAUGCAAGUAGAACGCACAGUUUAUACCGUAGCUUGCUACACCAUAGACUGUGAGUUGCGAACGGGUGAGUAACGCGUAGGUAACCUGCCUGGUAGCGGGUGAUAACUAUUGGAAACGAUAGCUAAUACCGCAUAAUAUUAAUUAUUGCAUGAUAAUUAAUUGAAAGGUGCAAUUGCACCACUACCAGAUGGACCUGCGUUGUAUUAGCUAGUAGGUGAGGUAACGGCUCACCUAGGCGACGAUACAUAGCCGACCUGAGAGGGUGAUCGGCCACACUGGGACUGAGACACGGCCCAGACUCCUACGGGAGGCAGCAGUAGGGAAUCUUCGGCAAUGGACGAAAGUCUGACCGAGCAACGCCGCGUGAGUGAAGAAGGUUUUCGGAUCGUAAAGCUCUGUUGUAAGAGAAGAACGGGUGUGAGAGUGGAAAGUUCACACUGUGACGGUAUCUUACCAGAAAGGGACGGCUAACUACGUG
rnacentral:rRNA from 1 species